rnacentral:rRNA from 1 species
GUGUACGUACAAGCAGUGGGAGCACAGGUUUACCUGUGUGACUGCGUACCUUUUGUAUAAUGGGUCAGCGACUUAUAUUCUGUAGCAAGGUUAACCGUAUAGGGGAGCCGUAGGGAAACCGAGUCUUAACCGGGCGUUAAGUUGCAGGGUAUAGACCCGAAACCCGGUGAUCUAGCCAUGGGCAGGUUGAAGGUUGGGUAACACUAACUGGAGGACCGAACCGACUAAUGUUGAAAAAUUAGCGGAUGACCUGUGGCUGGGGGUGAAAGGCCAAUCAAACCGGGAGAUAGCUGGUUCUCCCCGAAAGCUAUUUAGGUAGCGCCUCGUGAAUUCAUCUCCGGGGGUAGAGCACUGUUUCGGCUAGGGGGCCAUCCCGGCUUACCAACCCGAUGCAAACUGCGAAUACCGGAGAAUGUUAUCACGGGAGACACACGGCGGGUGCUAACGUCCGUCGUGAAGAGGGAAACAACCCAGACCGCCAGCUAAGGUCCCAAAGUCAUGGUUAAGUGGGAAACGAUGUGGGAAGGCCCAGACAGCCAGGAUGUUGGCUUAGAAGCAGCCAUCAUUUAAAGAAAGCGUAAUAGCUCACUGGUCGAGUCGGCCUGCGCGGAAGAUGUAACGGGGCUAAACCAUGCACCGAAGCUGCGGCAGCGACGCUGAUGCGUUGUUGGGUAGGGGAGCGUUCUGUAAGCCUGCGAAGGUGGCCUGUGAGGGUUGCUGGAGGUAUCAGAAGUGCGAAUGCUGACAUAAGUAACGAUAAAGCGGGUGAAAAGCCCGCUCGCCGGAAGACCAAGGGUUCCUGUCCAACGUUAAUCGGGGCAGGGUGAGUCGACCCCUAAGGCGAGGCCGAAAGGCGUAGUCGAUGGGAAACGGGUUAAUAUUCCCGUACUUGGUGUUACUGCGAAGGGGGGACGGAGAAGGCUAUGUUGGCCGGGCGACGGUUGUCCCGGUUUAAGCGUGUAGGUGUGUGUUCCAGGUAAAUCCGGUUCACUUUAACACUGAGGCGUGACGACGAGGCACUACGGUGCUGAAGCAACAAAUGCCCUGCUUCCAGGAAAAGCCUCUAAGCAUCAGGUAACAUCAAAUCGUACCCCAAACCGACACAGGUGGUCAGGUAGAGAAUACCAAGGCGCUUGAGAGAACUCGGGUGAAGGAACUAGGCAAAAUGGUGCCGUAACUUCGGGAGAAGGCACGCUGACACGUAGGUGAAGUGAUUUACUCAUGGAGCUGAAGUCAGUCGAAGAUACCAGCUGGCUGCAACUGUUUAUUAAAAACACAGCACUGUGCAAACACGAAAGUGGACGUAUACGGUGUGACGCCUGCCCGGUGCCGGAAGGUUAAUUGAUGGGGUCAGCGCAAGCGAAGCUCCUGAUCGAAGCCCCGGUAAACGGCGGCCGUAACUAUAACGGUCCUAAGGUAGCGAAAUUCCUUGUCGGGUAAGUUCCGACCUGCACGAAUGGCGUAAUGAUGGCCAGGCUGUCUCCACCCGAGACUCAGUGAAAUUGAACUCGCUGUGAAGAUGCAGUGUACCCGCGGCAAGACGGAAAGACCCCGUGAACCUUUACUAUAGCUUGACACUGAACAUUGAGCCUUGAUGUGUAGGAUAGGUGGGAGGCUUUGAAGUGUGGAC